GAGCAGGUGAGCCUGAGAGUCCUGGGAUGGGCGGGGUCUGAGCUGCUGCCUCUGUUUCUCAGGGAACUGCACGGGCUGCUCGGCCACCUUCUCAGUGCUGAAGAAGAGGCGGAGCUGCAGUAAUUGUGGAAACAGCUUCUGCUCUCGAUGCUGCUCCUUCAAGGUGCCCAAGUCCUCCAUGGGGGCCACAGCCCCUGAAGCCCAGAGGGAGACUGUGUUUGUGUGCGCCUCGUGUAACCAGACCUUGAGCAAGUGAGAAGAGAGGCCAGGGUCCAACCAGGCACCCGUCCUUGGGGCCAGCAGUAGGCCCCCCACUCUCCCCACCCCUGGCCCCCUGUGGUGUAUGCUGGGCAAAUGUGGCCUGAAUGCUAGGUAGACUUCCCCUUCCUUCCUCGCUCUCUCCAGCUGGAUUCUGGAGCUGUUCUCCACCCCUGAGAGUGGCAGGCAAUGGCUGCUCUCAAUCCCUUGGGGAGAGGAGCCCCUGGAGGGCCUGGCAUGUUUGCCCUGCUCUGCCUGGGACUGAGCGAGUGGACUUAGGGCUGGGCAGGCAGUAGCCACCAGAGGGCAGCAGUGAACUAAGCCAGGUCUGACUGGGGUCUGAAGACCAGGGUCAGUGUGGCUAUGCCUGGGAAUUCCAGACCUGAGUCUGGGAAAAGUUUUUCUCCUGCAGGGUACUGGGCCAGGCCCUCAGCCUCAGAGAGCCUGCAGAAGGGCUUGGGAGUGCCACACCCCAUCUCUG
rnacentral:sRNA from 1 species